UACGGAGGGUGCGAGCGUUGUCCGGAAUCACUGGGCGUAAAGGGCGCGUAGGCGGCGCGGUAAGUCAGCGGUGAAAGUUCAGGGCUCAACUCUGAAUCGGCCGGUGAUACUCCCGUGCUCGAGCACUGUAGAGGCAGGUGGAAUUCCGGGUGUAGCGGUGGAAUGCGUAGAGAUCCGGAAGAACACCGGUGGCGAAGGCGGCCUGCUGGGCAGUAGCUGACGCUGAUGCGCGAAAGCGUGGGGAGCAAACAGG
rnacentral:rRNA from 1 species